GGUACCAUGGUCAGUAUUCCUGCCUGUCACGCAGGCGGCCGGGGUUCGAUUCCCCG
rnacentral:tRNA from 1 species